GGAUCGAUGAUGACUCCUCCAUAAACCUUCCUUGGAAAAGCUGAACAAAAUGAUUGAAAAUUCUCUACCGUCUCUCUCAUCGAAACUGAGGUCC
rfam:Tupaia chinensis contig207097, whole genome shotgun sequence.